rnacentral:rRNA from 1 species
CCUACGGGAGGCAGCAGUGAGGAAUAUUGGUCAAUGGACGAGCGUCUGAACCAGCCAAGUAGCGUGAAGGAUGACUGCCCUAUGGGUUGUAACCUUCUUUUAUAAAGGAAUAAAACGAGGCACGUGUGCCUUUUUGCAUGUACUUUAUGAAUAAGGAUCGGCUAACUCCGUGCCAGCAGCCGCGGUAAUACGGAGGAUCCGAGCGUUAGCCGGAUUUAUUGGGGUUAAAGGGAGCGUAGAUGGGUUGUUAAGUCAGUUGUGAAAGUUUGCGGCUCAAACGUAAAAUUGCAAUUGAUACUGGCAGUCUUGAGUACAGUUGAGGUAGGCGGAAUUCGUGGUGUAGCGGUGAAAUGCUUAGAUAUCACGAAGAACCCCGAUUGCGAAGGCAGCUUACUAAACUGUGACUGACAUUGAUGCUCGAAAGUGUGGGUAUCAAACAGGAUUAGAUACCCGAGUAGUC